UAUAAGUCGUAACAAGGUUUCCGUAGGUGAACCUGCGGAAGGAUCAUUAGUGAAUCUAGGACGUCCAACUUAACUUGGAGUCCGAACUCUCACUUUCUAACCCUGUGCAUCUGUUUUAAAAUUGGCUAGUAGCUCUUCGGAGCGAACCACCAUUUUUCACUUAUACAAACACAAAGUCUAUGAAUGUAAACAAAUUUAUAACAAAACAAAACUUUCAACAACGGAUCUCUUGGCUCUCGCAUCGAUGAAGAACGCAGCGAAAUGCGAUACGUAAUGUGAAUUGCAGAAUUCAGUGAAUCAUCGAAUCUUUGAACGCACCUUGCGCUCCUUGGUAUUCCGAGGAGCAUGCCUGUUUGAGUGUCAUGAAAUCUUCAACCCACCUCUUUCUUAGUGAAUCUGGUGGUGCUUGGUUUCUGAGCGCUGCUCUGCUUCGGCUUAGCUCGUUCGUAAUGCAUUAGCAUCCGCAACCGAAACUUCGGAUUGACUUGGCGUAAUAGACUAUUCGCUGAGGAUUCCAGACUUGUUCUGGAGCCGAGUUGGGUUAAAGGAAGCUUCUAAUCCUAAAGUCUAUUUUUUGAUUAGAUCUCAAAUCAGGUAGGACUACCCGCUGAACUUAAGCAUAUCAAUA
rnacentral:rRNA from 1 species